AAUGCUUGUAUAUUUUAUUGUAUGUAAAUUAUACCACAAUACAGUUGAUAAAACAAGAUCUAUGAAAAUAGAUGGUAUCCAUUUGCUACCUGAAGGAACAGCACAACCACAGAGAGGGGGAUGUUAUGAUCUCAUUUAACAGACAAGUUGGGCUGGGCACGGUGGCUCAUGCCUGUAAUCACAGCACUUUGGGAGGGUGGUGUCCAUGAUUCCAAGAUCAGGAAUACUGGGAAAUAUCAGUACCUCACAUCUGUCUAGCACUUUACAAAGCUCUAACAUAUAAAUAUUAUCACCUCAGUUCAUUCUUACACCACCCUACAAUACCUAUCAACCUUUGGGAAUUGUUAAGCAUAAUAACCCUAUACACUGGGCAAAGCAUACAGGGACCUCAGGGCCAUGGGUGAGAGGAAGGACACUGGGAGCCAAUGAGGGAUGUAGAGAGAGGGCCUUUCAGAGAUAACCAGGCAGAAGAGGACAUUGUACCAGAUGAUGGAGUCAGCUAGGGCUUGGGCAGGGAAGAGAAGAGCGUCACUGAUGGGU
ensembl:lncRNA novel transcript